ACGGGAGGAGCUCGAACGCCUUGGGGGCUGGGAUUCCAGGCAGCGGAGAGAUUCGUUGUCAUGGGAACACUGGGCUCACCCGCGCUCGCCCCGCCUCAAGCCUGAGCUUUCCUCUCCCUUUCCUGCCCAACCCUCCUCCCGCCUUCCUCUCCUCCCCUCCCCUCCCUUCUCCUCCCUCUCCUCCCCCCAGUCAGGGACUCGAGCUGUGGUCGUGUCUCCCGUGCAGCUGCAGCGCCCCAACAUAUGACAGUAAAACGCAGCUGCCGAAACUUCUUUCGCCACUGUGCUAGGAUCGGCCCGAUGCCGGCCUCCGAAGAGGUCAUAGACCAAUCGAUGAGUCGGGAGCCUGACCCAGGUGUGGAAAGUACAGAAAAUAUAGUAAUGAAGCUCUGUUUAUACGUAACCUUUCAUCUCUGGAGACAAAGUAAAAUAAACACAAGAAGGAGAUUCAGAGACAAUAUUACUGAACCACAGCUUAUAAAGGAAAAGAAUUUCCCAGGCAGGAUAAUUUCACGUUCUACCCUUCUAGCAGAAAAGGGAAGAUCUGGGCAGCACUAGCCUUGGAGGCUGCCUCAACAGUAACCCCAAAUUUGAGAGUUCAUGGAUUGGAACUUCCUGAGAAUAAAGAGGACUUCCUGAAAACUGUCCAUCUUGGAGAAAGAAGAGGAUUAUCUUUGUGACCCCUGCAACUGGAGAAUAGUAAGGGACUUAAAACCAUGAUUAUUUUAAGGCAAGAGAUUGGGACUUAUCACCACAACUAUUAUAGUGAGUUCAUAGGAUCAUAGAGUCAUAGAUUUAGAGUUGUAAGGGAUCUUAAAGCCAUCUAGUCCAGCCUCCUCAUUAUAGAAAGAACUGAGGCCCAGGAAUGUUAAGCAAAUUGCCAGAAGUCCUACAGGUUGUAAACAGACCCAGGAUUUGAAUAUAGGACCUCUGACUCCGAAUUCAGUGUUCUUUCUACUACAUUAUGCUGAUAAUAAAAAUCUGAUGGAAAAGGGGUUUUUCUGUAUAGCAGUUUCCAAGUGUAUUUGCCUUCCAAUUGGUUGGUCAAACUAUGGGGAGUAUUGUGAAUCUGGGAGGGACUAUAUGAAGCCUAUAGAAAUCUAGGGAGUCACCAGAAUGUUAAAUUACUACUCCACAGACAACCCUAAAUUUAAUUUCUGCUAAGGUGAACUUUUGCCAGUGCUUUAUGUGUUUACUCUAUUUGUAGCCACUUGAGUCCUUUCAGCACUUUAUAUAUUUUCUGUAUUUGUUUAUGGGUUCUUAUGAGUCCUUUGCAUCUUCAUUUUCUGUAGGAUAAUGAAGACUAUCCUAUAUUUAAUAUGCUUUUAUUACCUUGAGUGCAUUUAUGGAUGCUGGGGACCCCUUUUACCCAUAUCUGUGAAAAUCUAGGCUCAAAUUAUAUUUGGAAAUUUCUCAGAAUAAACUCUGGGUAAGGGCAUAACACGCCAAAGAAGAAUGGCCCUUUUUUUAGGCCCCUUGGAUUAGACCCAGUCUUUGUGAUUGCAGAAUCUUAGAGGAGGGGCCAGGGUCAUGGCUUACAUAUUUAUUGAUAUUCUUGAUAUAAAUGAAACCAGAAUACAUAAGGAAGUUGCUACUAAAAGGAACGAUUAUUCACAAGUUCUUCUUAAAGAAGCAAAUAAAGAAAAAAACCAAAACAAGACAAAAGAAGCAAAUAAAGAAUUGGUUUCUUAUGCAACAUAAAUAAGGCAAGAAGAAGUACCAUGGAAUGUUUGGUCGUCUCUUCUUGCACUCAUGAUAAAUGUAAAGAAAAGACAACAAAAAAGAUCACUGUACCAUAUAUGACAUCUAUUGCAGAGGAUGAAGAGAGAUACUUGAUGAAAUCCUCCAAACCAAGUCAACAUAUACAUUGACACUCAGCACUUUUAAUACAACUGUAUCCAUGUGAAGAUGGUGAAUUCCAUCAAUCAAUAAAGGAAAGUAGUAAAAAUAGUCAAGUAGUAAAGAAUAAUAAAGAAUUAAAUAGAAGGAACCAAAGGUUUUAGACCUAUUUAGAAGUAUUAUUCCUAUGUGUCAUGAACACGUUUCAAAAAAUGAGUCAGAAGGCACUGACCAUGGCAAGGGCUAAAUAACCUGACAAAAAAAUUAAAUAAAAAACUUUUAAUUACUGAUUAGAGGUAAUAUUGCACAGUGCAUAGAGUACUACAUGUGCUAUCAGGACACCUGAGGUCAGAUCUUGCCUUAGACAUUUAAUAGCAUGGACAAAUCACUUAAUUUCUCAUGUCCUUACUUUCUUCAUUUGUAAAAUAGGAUUAAUAAUACUUUUACUGUCUACCCCACAGAAUUGUUUUGAGGAAAGCACCUUGAAGACCUUUUAUAAUGUGUUUAUUGAUGUGUGAAUCAUAUCAGAAUCAAAUACCCAUAUACUGUCAGGCCAUUAACUAAAAAAAGUCAUAAUUAACACCACAUUAGAAAAAAGGAUAAAGAUGAGAAGACAUGGCAUACAAUCACAAUAACACCAACUUGACUUAUGCAAACAACCUAUUAACACUAAAAUUGGGAAAAGACAUUAAAUGUGAUUAUCCUCAUUUCCUAUAGAAAUAUACCAAUACAAAGUAAUUGCAAAAAUGGAGUGAUGUAGUAUGGAGAAGAUUAAGAGAUUCUUUAGGAUGUGUGAAGAAAUUUCUUAUUAAAUCUGGUGGAUUUAUAGGAAGGCUGGCCAUUAGAUGGCUAAAGAAUCAACAACACCACUUGUGACCUUAAAAAGCUCUAAGGAGUCCAUCACGCAUGGCCAUCUAGAAGAGAUCCAACUAUGGAUGAAAAAUUCAGUUCUUGAGAGAGAAUCAUUCUUUAGCUUUUCCUUAGCCUUUCCAGAUUUUAGCUGACAGGAGGAAAUUUCUC